CCUACGGGAGGCAGCAGUGGGGAAUAUUGGGCAAUGGGCGCAAGCCUGACCCAGCAACGCCGCGUGAAGGAAGAAGGCUCGCGGGUUGUAAACUUCUUUUAUCAGGGACGAAGCAAGUGACGGUACCUGAUGAAUAAGCCACGGCUAACUACGUGCCAGCAGCGGCGGUAAUACGUAGGUGGCAAGCGUUAUCCGGAUUUAAUGGGUGUAAAGGGCGUGUAGGCUGGAAAGCAAGUCAGAUGUGAAAACCAUGGGCUCAACCUGUGGCCUGCAUUUGAAACUGUUUUUCUUGAGUACUGGAGAGGCAGACGGAAUUCCUAGUGUAGCGGUGAAAUGCGUAGAUAUUAGGAGGAACACCAGUGGCGAAGGCGGUCUGCUGGACAGCAACUGACGCUGAGGCGCGAAAGCGUGGGGAGCAAACAGGAUUAGAUACCCCUGUAGUC
rnacentral:rRNA from 1 species